UCCUGGUGGCUUAGACAGUAAAGAAUCUGCUUGCAAUGCAGAAGACCUAGGUUCAAACCCUGGGUUGGGAA
rnacentral:tRNA from 1 species